CCCUUAGAUGUUCUGGGCCGCACGCGCGCUACACUGAUGCAUUCAACGAGUCUAAAACCUGCUCUGAUAGGGGUGGGUAAUCUUUUGAAUGUGCAUCGUGAUUGGGAUAGAUGAUUGCAAUUUUUCAUCUUCAACGAGGAAUGCCUAGUAAACGCAAGUCAUCAGCUUGCAUUGAUUACGUCCCUGCCCUUUGUACACACCGCCCGUCGCACCUACCGAUUGAACGGUCCGGUGAAAUCUUGGGAUUUGCUUUGCUUUCGUUUGUUCGAUGCUCGGCGAAGAACUUGAGUAAACCUUACCGUUUAGAGGAAGGUGAAGUCGUAACA
rnacentral:rRNA from 1 species